ACGAUGAUCCCAGCUUGCUGGGGGAUUAGUGGCGAACGGGUGAGUAACACGUGAGUAACCUGCCCUUAACUCUGGGAUAAGCCUGGGAAACUGGGUCUAAUACCGGAUAUGACUCCUCAUCGCAUGGUGGGGGGUGGAAAGCUUUAUUGUGGUUUUGGAUGGACUCGCGGCCUAUCAGCUUGUUGGUGAGGUAAUGGCUCACCAAGGCGACGACGGGUAGCCGGCCUGAGAGGGUGACCGGCCACACUGGGACUGAGACACGGCCCAGACUCCUACGGGAGGCAGCAGUGGGGAAUAUUGCACAAUGGGCGCAAGCCUGAUGCAGCGACGCCGCGUGAGGGAUGACGGCCUUCGGGUUGUAAACCUCUUUCAGUAGGGAAGAAGCGAAAGUGACGGUACCUGCAGAAGAAGCGCCGGCUAACUACGUGCCAGCAGCCGCGGUAAUACGUAGGGCGCAAGCGUUAUCCGGAAUUAUUGGGCGUAAAGAGCUCGUAGGCGGUUUGUCGCGUCUGCCGUGAAAGUCCGGGGCUCAACUCCGGAUCUGCGGUGGGUACGGGCAGACUAGAGUGAUGUAGGGGAGACUGGAAUUCCUGGUGUAGCGGUGAAAUGCGCAGAUAUCAGGAGGAACACCGAUGGCGAAGGCAGGUCUCUGGGCAUUAACUGACGCUGAG
rnacentral:rRNA from 1 species